rnacentral:rRNA from 1 species
CUACGUGCCAGCAGCCGCGGUAAUACGGAGGGUGCAAGCGUUACUCGGAAUCACUGGGCGUAAAGGACGCGUAGGCGGAUUAUCAAGUCUCUUGUGAAAUCCUAUGGCUUAACCAUAGAACUGCUUGGGAAACUGAUAAUCUAGAGUGAGGGAGAGGCAGAUGGAAUUGGUGGUGUAGGGGUAAAAUCCGUAGAGAUCACCAGGAAUACCCAUUGCGAAGGCGAUCUGCUGGAACUCAACUGACGCUAAUGCGUGAAAGCGCGGGGAGCAAACAGGAUUAGAUACCCUGGUAGUCCACGCCCUAAACGAUGUAUACUAGUUGUUGCUAAGCUAGUCUUGGCAGUAAUGCACCUAACGGAUUAAGUAUACCGCCUGGGGAGUACGGUCGCAAGAUUAAAACUCAAAGGAAUAGACGGGGACCCGCACAAGCGGUGGAGCAUGUGGUUUAAUUCGAAGAUACGCGAAGAACCUUACCCGGACUUGAUAUC